rnacentral:lncRNA from 1 species
AAGAUGCUAUUUCUCCUCAGAAAUCUUGCUUCACUUGCGUCUGUGGUCCAACACAACUUUCUGUAACUUUCAUUGUCUAGGUCACUAAUGAAACCACCCGAGGGCUCUGACAACCAGCAGCCCCAAACAUUUAAAGAGACCUACGGCAAUAACUCGGGCUGGAGUCCCAUAGGAGACAUACUCAUUUCUUGAGAAGAACUAGGUGUCUCAGCUGUGGAGAGUGAGGCAGCUAAGGAGUACUUUGUUACUUCAGUACACUUUGGAGAAACUAAUGUUAAGGUCAGUUUGGAAGAAGAGGAGGGAACUAUCUGGAAAUCUAAGUCUUCUCUUCUUAUGCACAGUGAUCAUCUUUCUUUGCUGUCCUGUGAACCUAUGAAGCCUUCUCUGAGGAGCAGGAAACAGCAGCUUCUUGAGCUCUUCUUUGUGUGGUGCUGACCUGCUGCUGUUCCUGGAGAGAAAUUCUCAGAUAUAUGGCACCCGCAUACCUCCUAGCAAAAAGAAUCAGGAUCCUGGAGGUAAGACUGGAAAAUGCAGAAGAGUAGCCUGCUAGAGAAACAGUGCCUCUUUCUUGGCCUGGGAAAAGGACUCACCAGAUCA